rnacentral:rRNA from 1 species
CGCUGGCGGCGUGCUUAACACAUGCAAGUCGAACGGAGUUCCUUGGAUAGAGGCUUCGGCCAAUUGAAAUGGAACUUAGUGGCGGACUGGUGAGUAACGCGUGAGGAACCUGCCUUUCAGAGGGGGGACAACAGUUGGAAACGACUGCUAAUACCGCAUAAUGUCAUUUGGGGGCAUCCCUGAAUGACCAAAGCUUUAUGUGCUGAAAGAUGGUCUCGCGUCUGAUUAGCUAGAUGGCGGGGUAACGGCCCACCAUGGCGACGAUCAGUAGCCGGUCUGAGAGGAUGAACGGCCACAUUGGGACUGAGAUACGGCCCAGACUCCUACGGGAGGCAGCAGUGGGGAAUAUUGGGCAAUGGGGGAAACCCUGACCCAGCAACGCCGCGUGAAGGAAGAAGGCCUUCGGGUUGUAAACUUCUUUUACCAGGGACGAAGAACGUGACGGUACCUGGAGAAAAAGCAACGGCUAACUACGUG